UGUAGACAAUACAUCCAACUGUAUAUGUUGUAAAGUGGUGUGCUAAGAUACCAAGUUACUGUAAUUUCCAUGAAAAAGGGUGACCAAGCAUAAGAACCAAAAAUUGACGAGCUUUUGCCUAGUGUGGUAUGUUUUUUUUUCAGUCAUUGCCGGCAUGCUCUGGGAGAUUCCCAGUGCUGAGGGUUUCUGCGAGACAAUGCCAAAAGAAAUACAGCAGUUAGAGAGAAGUAAAGGAGGGAGGAAUACUUUUUUCUUAGGUACCAUACACAGACAUGCCAGUGUUGACAAGAGGUGAAAUUGUGUAAUUUCAAUUUUGACAUCAGUGAGGAUAUAAAAAUGAUUUAUCGUCUUAGUUCUCGGAGCUCAAAGCUGGAACUUCUGAAGUUGCUGAAAGUAGCUGAAGGUGCACUAGUUCAUGGGACCUGAUGAGAUGCAUCCACAGAUUAUGUCUAAAGUGUGAGAAUUGCACAUGAAGGAUGAGAAUACUGAAGCUUCUUGUCUCUUGAGACUGAGGAUUGCCUUAAACUGCAUUUCCAUUUCUUGAGUAUUUGAUGCAUGGACAGUGAUUUGGAGAGAAAGUUGGAAGGAAGCAGAGGGCUGGGGCUGAACAUCAAGAAAGGAUAUUUGGGAAAAGGUAGAUGACCAGUGAAAAAAGAUAGAGGGGAUUUGAUGACAUAUCCAUGAGAUAACAGCAUCAGCUUUGUGUUCUGUGCUACCAUUCUGUCAUGGAUUCACCAAGGCUCUUUGGGGUACAAGUGCAUGAUACUGGAUUGUGCUCCAGUAUGUGUUGAAGUGCAUCCCAAACUGGGAUUGGCUUUACAAAUGAGCCCAUGUUUUCAUCUGAUGCAUCUGAUUUGGUGUCUUGAUAAAAGGAAGGCAGUAACACAUCAUUCUGUCAUCACAGUUUCCAAAGGGCAUGUGAAUGUUAUAAGGA